GUCGAACGCUGGCGGCAGGCCUAACACAUGCAAGUCGAACGAGUGGCGGACGGGUGAGUAAUGUCUGGAAAACUGCCCGAUGGAGGGGGAUAACUACUGGAAACGGUAGCUAAUACCGCAUACCAUCAGAUCUGCCCAGAUGGGAUUAGCUUGUUGGUUGGGUAACGGCGCACCAAGGCGACGAUCCCUAGCUGGUCUGAGAGGAUGACGAGCCACAGCGGAACGUAGACACGGUCCAGACUCCGACGGGAGGCAGCAGUGGGGAAUAUUGCACAAGGGGGUGAAGCCUGAUGCAGCCAUGCCGCGUGUAUGAAGAAGGCCUUCGGGUUGUAAAGUACUUUCAGCGGGGAGGCGGUACCCGAAGAAGAAGCACCGGCUAACUCCGUGCCAGCAGCCGCGGUAAUUA
rnacentral:rRNA from 1 species